rnacentral:lncRNA from 1 species
AAAAGAGAAGUUUUCGUCGCGUUUUCGAUACGGAGGCGCCACCACCUCCUGUUCUUCAUCUGGAGGGCAGAUCUGGAGUCCGUCUUGGGCUCCGGAGAGGGGAAAUCGUCGCCAUCGUCAUCAUCAACCUUCUUCCCUCUCCAAUUCCAUUAAGCUCUUCGUCGUUCGUGAUUAAUCUAUUCGUAGGCUCGCUGGGCGGUGAUGAGUAAGAUGAGAUCUAUCAUGUAAUCGAGUUAGUUUUGAUGGGGAUUGAUCCCUAGUAUCCACUAUGUUCCGAGAUUUGAUGUUGCUACUACUUUGCCA